rnacentral:lncRNA from 1 species
UCGUCGGGCCAGGCGGCCGCUCGAGAGCCGGGCUGGGGAAGGGGCCCGCGGCGGAGUUGGCUCGGGGACUCACCAGAGCCAAGCCCAGAGUGGUCAGUAACUAUGAGGGAGAGAACAAACAAGUGAGGACACAAGAAGAAGAAACCCUUCAUCACUGGAGCUGCCCAACAGGAUCCACAAGCAGAAGAGCAGAGGAGCAGAAGAGCUGCACAGCAGAGGAGAGAAGAGAAGGAGCGUCUGAAUGUCGAGAGGAGUGCAGCUGGGGACAGUUGGAGAGGGGAUCGGCUGCCGGAUGGCUGAACUCCAGGGAGAGAUAUUCGUUCUACUCCAUCCCCUCUCCAGCUCCCUAUCUAUCCCACUGAGACCCACCCCUAUCCGGCAAUACAAUUUCCCGCAAUUACCAUCCUUAAAUUUGUCCAUGUGACCGGCCAGGAACUUGGGAGCCAUUUAAGCUGGUUGGUUCUUGCUCAGGGCCACUCAAGCUGAUGGCUGGAGUUGCAGAGUCAUCUGAAGGCUGGACUGAGGCUGAAAGAUCUGCUUCCAAGAUGGUGCCCUCACAUAGCUGCUGGCUGGAAGCCUUAGCCCUUCACCAUAAAGCCCUCUCUGUAAGGGUACCUGAGUCACCUCAUAAGGCAGCUGGCUUUCCCCAGGACUGAGCUCUGGGCUAGGAGGCAGUGAUUCACUGGAAAGAUCAGAGCCUGUCUGAGAAACAGGGCAGUAAACAGAAAGCUCAGUGAUGUAUGAGUGCUGAAGACUUUUUUGUUAAGAUGCACAGGAGGAAGACAGAGAAUCUAGGAAGGUGCCAGGGAUGAUUUCUCAUCCCAAAGCCCUGGGAGAAAUCCCAUCUCUGGGCAAGAAGAGAAUCUGAACGCAAAUGGAUGAAGAUGCUAAUGAGGCUCAGAUGAUGAGAGCACACUAGGCUCACAGCAUG